AAAGCCGGUCAGGCAGCCGCUGCUGCUGCCCCUCGGGGCAACAGGAGAGGAAAGUCCGGGCUCCACAGAGCAGGAUGACGGCUAACGGCCGUACGCCGCGAGGCGAGGAACAGGGCCACAGAGACGAGCAAACCCCCUCGGGGGUGGACGUGAAACGCGGUAACCUCCAUCCGGAGCAACACCAAAUAGGCGGACGAUGACGCUGCUCGCCGAGUCCGCGGGUAGGUGGCUUGAGCCGGCCAGCAAUGACCGGCCUAGAGGAAUGGUUGCCCACGACAGAACCCGGCUUAUCGGCCGACUUUCCCA
rfam:Thiobacillus sp. SCN 64-317 ABT22_C0026, whole genome shotgun sequence.